UGCUACCAGGUGUCUCCGCAGUUGUUUAGCGAUAUUGGCGGUAUUUCUUCACGUGUAAAAUGAGUAAGGAGUGCGAAAUGGAUAAUAGAAAAAUUUGUUAUCUUACUUUUAUGCUUAGUUAACGCUUCCACUGUUAUCAGUGCUUCAUUACGUUCCAUAUUACGUUCCAUGAUAUUUCCGAUUUUUGCAUACAAAAUACAACUUAUUGGGAUUUAACCUUUCAAGAUGAAUGAUAACAUCGAGGAGGGAAUUAUCACCUACAUACAUCUGGAGAAUUUUGUGACUUAUGACAAAGUGACAGUGAUACCAGGAAGAUAUCUCAAUGUUAUUGUUGGACCUAAUGGUUCUGGCAAAUCCACCAUUGUCGCCGCUAUAGUUCUCGGUCUAGGAGGUAAACCAAACAUCAUUGGGCGAGCCCUUCACAUAGGAGAAUAUGUGAAAUAUGGACGGGAUUCGGCAAAAAUCGAAAUUCAUCUGAAAAAUAGCUUCAAACAGGAUUCUAUAAUAACUAGGAUAUUUACCAAAGAAGGAAAGUCCAUAUGGAUGAUUAAUGGUAAUCAUGCAAAUUCCAAAAAUAUACAGGAAUUCACAUCCAAGCUUAAUAUUCAAGUCAACAAUCUUUGUCAAUUUUUGCCGCAAGAUAAAGUACAAGAUUUCUCAAAAAUGGAUGCUCAAGCAUUGUUAGAAAAUACAGAAAGAUCUGUCGGAGACCCAAAGCUUCUUGAGUAUCAUCUAAAAUUGAAGGAUCAAAGAAUCAAUUUUAAGAAAUUGGAAGGUGAUAUAACCAAUACAAAACGAUUAUUGGAAUCUAAAACUCAGAGACGUGAUGGACUACAACAAACUGUUGCAACAAUAAAAGAAAAAAAGUUGAUAAAGAAAAAAAUUGUAACACUGAAGCAAAAGAAGGCAUGGAUGCUAUAUGAUCAAAUGCGGAGGAAAUUAGUAGAGUCAAAGAAAGCCAGAGAUAAGGCAGCAAAAGAAAUGCAAUUAAUAGACAAAAAACUGCAACCGUUAAAUAAAAAGAUUGAAAAUAUAAAGAUUGAAAUGACAACGUUAAAAAAUUCUUUAAAGGAUCAUAACAAUAAAGUUAAUGCUAAGAAUGCGAAAUUAAGAAACAUCAUGAAUGAGAUUUUUAAUUCUGAAAACAGCAUCAAGGAUGCAGAAAACAUAUGUUCUCGAAACAUUCAGGCAGAACAGACUCGAGAUCAAGAUAUUAAAUUUGCACAACAACAGAAAUCGAAACUUGAGAAUGAUUUUUCUCUUACGAUUAAUGAAAUGGGAUCAGAGGAAAGUUUAAUGGAACAAAUGCAAAAUAUAGCAUCUAAUAUAGAGGAGCAUAGAAAAGGAAUUAAGAAUCUCACUAAUAAAAUUAUCACAUUGAAGCAUGAGGACGAAAACAUUAGUCGUGAAAUGAGAGCUGUGCAAGCGGAACUCCAAACAAUUAAUAUUGAUGUAAAGCGAUUAGAAUUGCUGAAACAAAAGGAUGUGAACGCAUACAAAGCUGUACUUUGGUUAAAAGAGAAUCGAGACAAAUUUUCAGCAACAGUGCAUCUGCCAAUGUUACUCAAUAUUAAUGUAAAAGAGGCUUCAUAUGCCAAAUAUUUAGAAAACAUAAUACCGUUUCGAGAUUUAAUUGCAUUCACAUGUGAAGAUAAAAGAGACAUGAAUCUUUUACUUAAGUAUUUGAGGGAACAACAAAAACUGAAAGUUAAUGUUGUACAUUCUGAUCCAAUGAAAAGAAUCACAUUGCAACCGAAUAUCCCGAUAGAAAACAUACAAAAAUUUGGCUUCAAGCAUUAUUUAGUAGAGCUUAUCGAAGUACCGCCCUCCAUACUGAAAUAUUUAGUUUCGAUGUAUCGUUUAAAUAAUAUCCCUGUCGGGACUAAUGAAAUCGAGAAUAAUACAAAUUACAUACCUCGCAACUUAAAUUGUUACUUUAGUGAAAAUAAUGUAUAUUCUGUAAAUACAUCUAAGUAUACGCACGAAACAUCGACCAGAAUAUCACGAGUUCAUGGAAAUGGAAUGUUAUCUAUUGUUCUGGACAAAUCUAAACUACAGAAUCUUCAAGAACGAUUACAAAAUUUGCAAGAAAAGAAAAAUAAAAUUUCGAUAAAUAUUAAAGAAAUAGAAGAAAAAUUACAUUUGAAAACGAAAACAUUAGAUGAAUAUAGAGCCAACAGAAAUAAAUGUCAACAAAAUGUUCAGCAUAUUCAAGCAUUAAAAGGUAGAAUACACAUAGCUGAAGAUAAACUUAAACAGUUGGAAAUGGGCCGGAUGAAUAUUGAUGAUAUAAAAGCAACAUAUACCAACGAGAUUAAGGCCAUUAUAAAGAAACAAUUAAAACUGUAUAAAGAAUAUAAUGGAAUUUUGCAAGAAUGUUUCAAUUGCAAUACAAGUAACGUAGAAGUCAAAUUUGCAAUAACGUUAUUACAACAAACUUUAUUGUUUAAAGAGACUGAAGCCGACGAAUUAAAGGAUAAGUUUAUAACAGCAGAGAGAAUAUUUAAAAGACAUGAUGAAGAAUUCCAACCUUUAAAGAAAGAAGCUGAAAGAUUAUAUAAGGAAGCAUUGACAAGCACAAAUAAUCUUAAUCCACAAGAUGACAUGUUUAAAGCUUUCAAUAAAGCCUUUGAAAAAUUACCAGCUACUAUAGCUGAAAUAAAUAAUGAAUUAAAUAUUGCUCAAGCAAAAGUUUUUUGUAUGGCACAAAAUGUGGACGCUGAGAAUAUACUGCGUGAAUAUGAAGAAAUGCAAAAUAAUAUUCUCGACUUAACUGAAUUUAUCAAAAAGAAGAGUAUUUUACUAGAGCAAAUGACAAAGGAGAUUGAAACAUUAAAAGAAAAGUGGUUACAACCAUUGCAGCAACUGAUUGAAAAAAUUAAUGCGAAUUUUAGUUCUUAUUUUUUUGCAAUGGACUGUGCUGGCGAAGUUACGCUCUCACAUGGUGAAAAUAUCUUGGAUUUUGAUCAGUACGGACUAAAGAUCAAAGUAAAAUUCCGAGAUGCGGACGAGUUGCAAGAAUUAACAAGGCAUUUUCAGAGUGGUGGGGAAAGAACCGUAACUACUGCCAUUUACAUGAUAGCGCUGCAAGAAUUAUCGCGUGUGCCAUUUCGCUGUGUGGAUGAAAUUAAUCAGGUACAAGAUAUCCGGCUUAUGCUAAUCACUAAUAGGCAUGGAUGCGGUGAACGAGAGACGAGUCUUUGAUUUACUCGUCAAAAUGACAGGAAGGCCAGGAAGCUCCCAAUAUUUUUUGCUUACACCAAAACUUCUGCCUAAGUUAUCAUAUACUGAGACAGUAACGGUGCAUUGCGUCUUUAACGGGACAGUUAAAGCGGAUAAUGAAG
rnacentral:misc_RNA from 1 species